AUUGAACGCUGGCGGCAUGCCUUACACAUGCAAGUCGAACGGCAGCACGGGAGCAAUCCUGGUGGCGAGUGGCGAACGGGUGAGUAAUACAUCGGAACGUGCCCAGUAGUGGGGGAUAACCCGGCGAAAGCCGGACUAAUACCGCAUACGACCUACGGGUGAAAGCAGGGGAUCGCAAGACCUUGCGCUAUCGGAGCGGCCGAUGUCAGAUUAGCUUGUUGGCGGGGUAAAAGCCCACCAAGGCGACGAUCUGUAGCUGGCCUGAGAGGACGACCAGCCACACUGGGACUGAGACACGGCCCAGACUCCUACGGGAGGCAGCAGUGGGGAAUUUUGGACAAUGGGCGCAAGCCUGAUCCAGCCAUGCCGCGUGCGGGAAGAAGGCCU
rnacentral:rRNA from 1 species